CCUACGGGAGGCAGCAGUAGGGAAUAUUGCUCAAUGGGGGAAACCCUGAAGCAGCAACGCCGCGUGGAGGAUGAAGGUUUUCGGAUUGUAAACUCCUUUUGUUAGAGAAGAUAAUGACGGUAUCUAACGAAUAAGCACCUGCUAAACCCGUGCCAGCAGCCGCGGUAAUACGAAGGGCGCAAGCGUUACUCGGAAUCACUGGGGGUAAAGAGCUCGUAGGCGGGAUAGCAAGUCAGAUGUGAAAUCCUAUGGCUUAACCAUAGAACUGCAUUUGAUACUGUCAUUCUAGAGUAUGGGAGAGGUAAGUGGAAUUCUUGGUGUAGGGGUAAAAUCCGUAGAGAUAAAGAGGAAUACUAAUUGCGAAGGCGACCUACUAGAACAUAACUGACGCUGAUGGGCGAAAGCGUGGGGAGCAAACAGGAUUAGAUACCCUAGUAGUC
rnacentral:rRNA from 1 species